UACAAUCAAGAACCCACCUCGUACGAAAGUUGUAUUGUAGCAUAUGCACCCAAACCAUGAGAAAUCGCAGCCUUUAUGCAUCGCUGGUUUCACUUUUUUGCUUCGUAGUUCUUAUGAUCGUUACCCCAGCCAUUCCUCAGUCCCAAGAGUAUCAUAAUUUCGCCGACCACCGCAAAUUCUUCGGUAUUCCUAAUGCACUUAAUGUGAUAUCAAAUUUUCCUUUUCUGGUUAUUGGCCUCGUUGGACUUGUACUCCUUUAUCAUGGAAACUACUUUAGACUCAGCUUGCAAGGUGAAAUAUGGGGUUGGACUUGCUUCUAUGUUGGUGUGGCUGCUGUUGCAGUUGGAUCUUCAUACUAUCAUCUCAAGCCAGAUGAUGCUCGCCUUGUCUGGGAUAGGCUCCCGAUGACUGUUGCUUUCACAUCCAUCAUUGCAAUAUUCAUCAUUGAGCGGAUUGAUGAGAGGAAGGGAACGGUUUCAAUUAUACCUCUACUUUUGGCUGGUAUAAUAAGCAUUGUGUAUUGGAGGUUCUUUGAUGACCUUCGUCCAUAUGCUCUGGUCCAGUUUGUGCCUUGCAUUGCCAUUCCUAUAAUGGCUAUUUUGUUACCUCCAAUGUACACACAUUCAACUUAUUGGCUCUGGGCUGCAGGGUUUUAUCUUUUAGCGAAAGUGCUAGAAGCUACUGAUGAAGUGAUCUAUGGAUGGACACACCAUAUUGUCAGUGGUCACACACUUAAGCAUCUAGCUGCAGCAAUGGUACCUGUAUUCUUAACAUUCAUGCUUGCUAAAAGGAAUGUCGAACCUGAGAGACAAAAUUUGCUUAAAACUUGGAGGGUUUCUUGGAUGAAGUUUAGAGAGGGCAACUCCAACAUUGGGAUCUACUCUUACUCGUACGCAGGCGUGCCAGUUGUGGAGACAUAGUAUGAUGUUACUUUCCCAUACAACAAAAUUAAGGGGUAUUCUGGAUUACCUAAUAUUGUUAAGCUUGAAUAUGGACCAGGACUUAGCAUGUCCAAAUUAUAUAUCAAAUGAUAGCAACCCUCCAAGCAAAAGGUGGUCCAAAGCUAGAAGAGAAGCUAGGAGGUUUGGUCUCUUAAAUGGAGUUUGCAGAAUAUGGUGGACAAAGGGACAAGGACAAUGUGGAAACUAUGGUUGCAAGGGAGAAGGCUCACGACUUUAGGUGGUUAAAUGGUGUGAUAUUUUUUAGGCCAACUCUAGGAAAAAGAUGAUUA